GGCAUCGAGCAGAGGGAAAAAGGAGCAAUCCGCUUUGAGAUGGCCUCGCGUCCGAUUAGCUAGUUGGUGAGGUAACGGCCCACCAAGGCGACGAUCGGUAGCCGGACUGAGAGGUUGAACGGCCACAUUGGGACUGAGACACGGCCCAGACUCCUACGGGAGGCAGCAGUGGGGAAUAUUGCACAAUGGGGGAAACCCUGAUGCAGCGACGCCGCGUGGAGGAAGAAGGUCUUCGGAUUGUAAACUCCUGUUGUUGAGGAAGAUAAUGACGGUACUCAACAAGGAAGUGACGGCUAACUACGUGCCAGCAGCCGCGGUAAAACGUAGGUCACAAGCGUUGUCCGGAAUUACUGGGUGUAAAGGGAGCGCAGGCGGGAGAACAAGUUGGAAGUGAAAUCCAUGGGCUCAACCCAUGAACUGCUUUCAAAACUGUUUUUCUUGAGUAGUGCAGAGGUAGGCGGAAUUCCCGGUGUAGCGGUGGAAUGCGUAGAUAUCGGGAGGAACACCAGUGGCGAAGGCGGCCUACUGGGCACCAACUGACGCUGAGGCUCGAAAGUGUGGGUAGCAAGCAGGAUUAGAUACCCUGGUAGUCCACACCGUAAACGAUGAUUACUAGGUGUUGGAGGAUUGACCCCCUCAGUGCCGCAGUUAACACAAUAAGUAAUCCACCUGGGGAGUACGACCGCAAGGUUGAAACUCAAAGGAAUUGACGGGGGCCCGCACAAGCAGUGGAGUAUGUGGUUUAAUUCGACGCAACGCGAAGAACCUUACCAAGUCUUGACAUCCUGCGACGCACAUAGAAAUAUGUGUUUCCUUCGGGACGCAGAGACAGGUGGUGCAUGGUUGUCGUCAGCUCGUGUCGUGAGAUGUUGGGUUAAGUCCCGCAACGAGCGCAACCCUUAUGGUCAGUUACUACGCAAGAGGACUCUGGCCAGACUGCCGUUGACAAAACGGAGGAAGGUGGGGAGGACGUCAAAUCAUCAUGCCCUUUAUGACUUGGGCUACACACGUACUACAAUGGCGUUAAACAAAGAGAAGCAAGACCGCGAGGUGGAGCAAAACUCAGAAACAACGUCCCAGUUCGGACUGCAGGCUGCAACUCGCCUGCACGAAGUCGGAAUUGCUAGUAAUCGUGGAUCAGCAUGCCACGGUGAAUACAAUCCCGGGCCUUGCACA
rnacentral:rRNA from 1 species